UACAGAGGAUGCAAGCGUUAUCCGGAAUUAUUGGGCGUAAAGCGUCUGUAGGUGGCUUUUUAAGUCCGCCGUCAAAUCCCAGGGCUCAACUCUGGACAGGCGGUGGAAACUACCAAGCUGGAGUACGGUAGGGGCAGAGGGAAUUCCCGGUGUAGCGGUGAAAUGCGUAGAGCUCGGGAAGAACAUCGGUGGCGAAAGCGCUCUGCUGGACUGCAACUGACACUCAGGGACGAAAGCUAGGGGAGCGAAUGGG
rnacentral:rRNA from 1 species